AUGGCGCAUUUCUGGUGGGGAGACGAGGAGAACCAGAGGAAGAUGCAUUGGAUGGCCUGGUGGAAAAUGCGCGUCCCUAAAAAUCAAAGAGGGAUGGGAUUUCAUUAUAUUCACUGUUUCAACUUGGCAAUGCUUGCCAAACAGGCGUGGCGCCUUCUUGGGAAUCCUAAUUCUUUGUGUGCUAUUAUUCUGAGGGCCGAGUACUAUCCUAAUGGCGAUUUGUUGAACACUAAGUUAAAGAAAGGCUCUUCUUUUACCUGGCAAAGUAUUAUGGAAGGCGUGAAUUAUGUAAAACAUGGUUAUAUUUGGCGAGUGAGGAAUGGACAUAAUAUCAAUAUUUGGGAAGACGCUUGGAUUCCAAAUUGUGCCAUAGGAAAAAAUUACGUCGAAGGGGGGAGAACUAUUAUCUAA
rnacentral:rRNA from 1 species